GACUUCAGGGGCCAGCCAGUCACCCAGCUACCCAGCUACCUAACCAGCCAUGGAGUAAGAGUGAAAGGAGAAAAAAAAAAAAGACAUACAAAGUGCUACAGUGAAGCCAAAUGUAGUAGUGAAUGUCUGUAAUCCCAAGUACUUGGAAGAUUGCUGCAAGAGAAUCACAUGAGCCUAAUUGUUCAAGGCCAGCCUGGGCAGCACAGUGUUGCAAGGAUACUCAGCCACUUUCCGGACAUUUGGAUAUUCAAGUGUUGUUUCGAGCCUUGGCUUCUUUCUCCAGGACACACCCUAACAUAGAAUCUACUGUCACUUCAAAGUUAGGAGUGGUCGUGUUGACUCAGGAAAUAUGAGCAGCAUGGGCAAGUGUCAUCAAUCGGCAGAAGCAUCAGGAAACCAGACAAUAUUCACUGAGUUUCUUCUCCCUGUGGUGAAAGAGGAAGCAGUUAAUCCCACCUCUGGAAAAAAGAACGCUUCUCAACCCUCAUCAACAACAAACUCCUGCUGGUUCACAGCACACCAGAAAAGAGAAAAAUUUAGCACCUCGAACAAUAUUGUGAGGAGAACUAGUUUUUAAAAACGAAAACAUCUUCAUUGUAACAAUGAUAAUGCGUUCCACCCCCAAAGUAAAAGUAUUGAUACCUGAAACUAUGCUGUGGACAUAUUUUCUAAAUAUCAUCUAUAGAAGAAUCUAGAAUUCUGGUCUUCAAAUUCUCACUGAAGAAGAGCAUAGUGGUAAAACAUCUGUGAAUGAACUGUUUCCUGUUUACUUUGCAAAAGUGCUCAGGAAUUCACAUAAGUAAUUGAUGAAAUAACUGUCUAAUGCCCAUCUUUCAUGAGACAUAAGAACAUACUCCUAGAUAUUUUCCAGGCUAGAUGACCAGCGAAGGAUCUGUUUCCUCCUAGGAAAAGAUAUAAACCCCCUGAGCUGGAACUCCACACCCAAGUUCUAAAGUAAUAUCCAAUCUGAGCUACAUGACCAUGAUGACUGAAUGGUAUUUCAAAUGGUAGCACACAGUGAAAAUCACAGCUGAAGGGCCAGGAAGCAUUUCCCAAGGCAUCCCCCGAGUGCAGCAGCCAUCCUUUCCUGUUUCUACAUUGCCUUCCAUGUCGUCAGAUGCACCAGGGUCUCUGACUGCAGAGCAGUGCCGAGUCACUGCAGAUGUUGCCUACUUUUGACUUACAUGGCAGUUUUCUAAAGAGCGUCUUCACUUAUGUGACUUCUCCAAAAGUCCUUAUGUUACUGACGUGAUAUUAUCUACACAUACGCUCGUAUGCAAAGAGGCAUGCUUGGAGUCUGCAGAGGCCAGCACAAACGUGUCGCAGCUCUGCCUUCUUUGUGGCUUUAUCAACAACAGACAGAUGUGGAGGGUUUUCAUUAUGAAUAGUCCUAAGUAGAAAACUGAGAGCAAAUCCUCAAAUCACAUAGGGUCUGCAGGCAGGCCAGAAAUGGAUCUAUGCCCUGGCAGGUUCCAGAGAAACAAAAGCAGUAUCGACUGUGGACCAUCAAUUCAGCUCUCUACCAGUGGAGAGAAAAAGACAUCAGAAAUGGGCAGUAUAAUUUUCACUCCUUCAAAUGGUGACUGACUACAGACUGGAGAGAUGACUCUGCAGUUAAAAGCUCUUGUUUCUCUUCCAGAGGACCAGCAUUCAGCUCCCUGCACCCACGUCCUACUAUCCACAACUACUUGUAACUCUAGCUCCGGAGAACUCAAUGCCCUCUUGUGGUCUCCACCAGCACCUACACGCAUAUGGCACUCACUCACACAAGCAGACACACACAUGUGCAUAUGCAUGCUCAU